UUAUUUUGUGUAAUAUUACAUGCUUAUUUGAUCCCCAAUCCUUAAAAUAAAAACUAACACCCAUUACUACUUAAACGUGUAAUAUUUGCUGUACAUUCGAUACAAUAUUCAACGCAACCUUGUACACAACUUUUACUGUCAAUUUUCGUGUAAAAUUAUCGACGAAUUCAUUUAGCCGACUUUGACAGAUCUCAUAAAAUCCCAGUGCCAUCAGUUCCCUUCUGUCAGGUGCAUCGCGAUCGUAUUUCGAGUUGCCCGAAAUGGUGCGUGAGAGCGGUGAGAGCUAAACACCCGCAGGAGUGUGCCUGAUACCCGUUUCUAAUCUGUCGGACAAAACACGACUGGUCUUCGGAGCGUCGACCUGAACUGGCGAACUCGGUACGUGACAUCUAAACACCCGCAGACGGUCGUUGCCGGUGGAAAUGCCCAGAUUGUCAACUCGCGGAAGCCAUUCAUCGACUCUUCCAGAGGAGUGAAUUCUCCCAACCUCCAGGCCGUGCAUCAUACCCGGUUCAAAUCUUCCGGACACAACACGAACGGGCUAAGGAGCGUCCUCCUGAAACCGGCGAACUCGGUACGUGACAGCUAAACACCUGCAGACGGACGCCAAAGAGAUUCGACCGCGAGACGGAGUAAGUUCCCCUAACCUCCAGGCUGUGCAUCAUACCCGAUUCCAAUCUGCCGGACAAAACACGACCGGGCUUCGGAGCGUCCUCCUGAGACCGGCGGACUCGGUGCGUGACAGCGAAACACCCGCAGAAGUAAAUUCCCCCAACCUCCAGGUUGUGCAUCAUACCCGGUUCAAAUCUGCUAGACAAAACUUGACCAGGAAGAUGAGCUCCCGGUGGGCUUCCGGCUAAGCUGCAACGUCGUCGGGAUGUGGACUUCCCCCGGAAGCUGCACGCUCAUCUCCCCGAAGCAGUCCAUCGGCGCCGCAUGGUGUCGAACGAAGAUGAGUUCCCGGUGGGCUUCCGGCCAAGCUGCAACGUCGUCGGGAUGUGGAAUUCCCCCGGAAGCCGCACGCUCAUCUCCCCGAAGCAGUUCAUCGGCGCCGCAUGGUGUCGAAUGAAGGUUAGCUCCCGGUGGGCUUCCGGGCAAGCUGCAACGUCGUCGGGACGUGGACUUCCCCGGAAGCUGCACGCUCGGCGUUGAAACGUAACAAAUCAUAAUUGCACCACUAUCGAAACAAGUUGGCCACGUGGACUUCAAGGCGCGAAAUAGUUGGAAGCUGGACAUCUUCCCAAAGCAGUUCAUCGGCGCCGCAUGGUGUCGAAUGAAGGUUAGCUCCCGGUGGGCUUCCGGCCAAGCUGCAACGUCGUCGGGAUGUGGACUUCGCGCCUCCCCGUCGGAGACUGCUCGAUCAACAUCGGUAUCCAGGAGGAGUGAAAAAGUGAAACUUUUUAACGACCUCUUAAGAAGAAAAAUGUUCAUUCAGUCGGAUUAAUGUCGGUGGGAAUAGAUUUCUUCAAAAUGCAUUCUAUUGUUGUGUUAAUAAAAC